ACCAAAAAACAAACAACAACAACAACAACAAAAAAAAAAAACUUUUCCUGGAUUUCUCACUUAUAUUCUAUUUUUUUAAAAAAAACAGCAAAGCUUCAGAAUACAUGGGGGCUGGAGUGAACCUGAAUAGAAUCAAUAAGGAAUAGACAAGCCUUGCAGGGUGGCAUAUGCCUAUAAUCCCAGCAGUUUGGGAAGCUGAAACAAGAGGAUUGCAAAUUCGAGGUCAGCCUCAGCAAAUUAGUCAAGCCCUAAGCAACUUAGCAAGACCAUGUCUCAAAAAGGAAUGGGGAUAUGAGUUCAGUGGUUAAGCAACCCUGGAUUCAGUCCCUGGUACCUGCCAUUAAAACAAAACAAAACAAAACCUAGAUCCUCAAUUAUAGAAUAGUUCAAAUGUCCAUUUCUGAAUAUUUGCAUAACUGAUAAAGCAAAUAGAGAAUCAGUCAAGACAGAAAAUUUGAACUACAUGAUCAACUUACUUGACCUAAUUGAUAUUUAUAGAAUACUCUACCCAACAAUAGCAAAACAUACAUUUCCUUCAAGGUACACAAAGAAUAUUUACCAAGAUUGACUAUUUUGGAUCAUAAAACAAGGCUAAAUAAAUGUAAAAUGAUAUAAUCAAUGCAAAGCACCAAAGUUCUCUGGUUACAAAGAGAUUUGAGUAAUAUUUACUAACAAACCAGCCAUGGUGGUAUGCUCCUGUAGUCCAAGCUAUUUGGGAUGCUGAGGCAGGAGGAUCAUCUAAGCCCAGAAGUUCAAGCCCAGCCUAAGCAACAUAGCAAGACCCUGUUCUGAAUCAGUAACAAAUAUAUCUGAAAACAAUAUAUUUGUUACUGUUUGGAAAUAAGUAAGUCAAAAUGUAAUCAAGAAUAAAAUUGUGUCAUUUUGAACUGAAUGAAAGCAAAGCACAUCACAAUUUGAGGAAUGCGUCUAAAUCAGCUUUUAAAGAGAUAUUUAGAAGGGUUGGGGCCCUGGGUUCAAUCCCCAGCACCACACACACACACACAAAAAAAGAGGUAUUUAGAGCUGGGGCUCGGCCUCAGCAGUAGCACACUUGCCUGGCAUGUGUGCGACACAGAGUUCG
rnacentral:lncRNA from 1 species